CAGCUAAGGUCCCAAAGUCAUGGUUAAGUGGGAAACGAUGUGGGAAGGCCCAGACAGCCAGGAUGUUGGCUUAGAAGCAGCCAUCAUUUAAAGAAAGCGUAAUAGCUCACUGGUCGAGUCGGCCUGCGCGGAAGAUGUAACGGGGCUAAACCAUGCACCGAAGCUGCGGCAGCGAACGUAUCACCCAAGACAACUUUGCGGAGUUGACGAUUGACGGAGCGAAGCGACGUCAAAGCGUUCAUUAAAGUCGAGUUGGCUUAGGGAUACGUUCGUUGGGUAGGGGAGCGUUCUGUAAGCCUGUGAAGGUGGCCUGUGAGGGUUGCUGGAGGUAUCAGAAGUGCGAAUGCUGACAUAAGUAACGAUAAAGCGGGUGAAAAGCCCGCUCGCCGGAAGACCAAGGGUUCCUGUCCAACGUUAAUCGGGGCAGGGUGAGUCGACCCCUAAGGCGAGGCCGAAAGGCGUAGUCGAUGGGAAACGGGUUAAUAUUCCCGUACUUGGUGUUACUGCGAAGGGGGGACGGAGAAGGCUAUGUUGGCCGGGCGACGGUUGUCCCGGUUUAAGCGUGUAGGUGUGUGUUCCAGGUAAAUCCGGUUCACUUUAACACUGAGGCGUGAUGACGAGGCACUACGGUGCUGAAGCAACAAAUGCCCUGCUUCCAGGAAAAGCCUCUAAGCAUCAGGUAACAUCAAAUCGUACCCCAAACCGACACAGGUGGUCAGGUAGAGAAUACCAAGGCGCUUGAGAGAACUCGGGUGAAGGAACUAGGCAAAAUGGUGCCGUAACUUCGGGAGAAGGCACGCUGACACGUAGGUGAAGUGAUUUACUCAUGGAGCUGAAGUCAGUCGAAGAUACCAGCUGGCUGCAACUGUUUAUUAAAAACACAGCACUGUGCAAACACGAAAGUGGACGUAUACGGUGUGACGCCUGCCCGGUGCCGGAAGGUUAAUUGAUGGGGUCAGCGCAAGCGAAGCUCCUGAUCGAAGCCCCGGUAAACGGCGGCCGUAACUAUAACGGUCCUAAGGUAGCGAAAUUCCUUGUCGGGUAAGUUCCGACCUGCACGAAUGGCGUAAUGAUGGCCAGGCUGUCUCCACCCGAGACUCAGUGAAAUUGAACUCGCUGUGAAGAUGCAGUGUACCCGCGGCAAGACGGAAAGACCCCGUGAACCUUUACUAUAGCUUGACACUGAACAUUGAGCCUUGAUGUGUAG
rnacentral:rRNA from 1 species